rnacentral:rRNA from 1 species
UACGUAGGGGUCCGAGCGUUGCCCGGAGUUACUGGGCGUAAAAGCGCGCGCAGGCGGCGGUGUUGGCCCGGCGUGAAAGCCCCCGGCUCAACCGGGGAGGGUCGUCGGGGACCGCACCGCUUGAGGGCGGUAGGGGCUGGUGGAAUGCCUGGUGUAGUGGUGAAAUGCGUAGAGAUCAGGCGGAACACCUGUGGCGAAGGCGGCCAGCUGGGCCGUCCCUGACGCUGAGGCGCGAAGGCGUGGGGAGCGAACGGG